GCCGGGGUGGCGGAACUGGCAGACGCGCCGGACUCAAAAUCCGGUGCCCGCAAGGGCGUGAGGGUUCGAGUCCCUCCCCCGGCA
rnacentral:tRNA from 1 species